ensembl:lncRNA
GCAAUGAUUACUUAGGGACCAUAAGAUAAACCAAUGUAUAGUACACUGACCUUGGGGGUAAAUCUCAAGACAGUGCUAAGGCUAGGGAAGAAGAAACAAACAUACUUUAAAAGAAAAGAUAAAAGCAGUGCAUGCACUGUAAUUCAGGGCAGAUUGUCUUCAAAUACAGUAAGAUUCCAAACUCCAUUACAUGCAAAAAGACUACUGAAUCAAACAUAAUUGCAAAUUAUAAAAUGAUAUGCUAAAGGCUGACCAUCUAAUGAUCUAUUAAUGUUCUUAGUUUUUGUGGUUAUUUAGAUAAAGACAAUCUUCUAAAAUAACUGAUAAACAAUAGUUCUUGAAACUGUGAUUCCUUCUAUUCUAGAGAUAGAAAAAGUGAUAGGAGGAUGUGAUAGGCAGCUGACUGGUAGAGAAAGGAGAUGAUGUAUUUCUGGGUUCUUGUGGUAAGGGAACAUGAAGGAGAGGCAUAAUGGGUUUGUAUGUGUACUGGUUAAGACACAGUUCUGUUGGUUGCCACAGGAUACCAAAAAAAUUUCUACACUUUCUAUUUUACAUUGUUGUUUCACUGUGGUAUAAUCAGGGAGUUAUGGGUCUAUAAUUUUCUGGAUGCUGAAAUCAUGAAAUUGGAAUGGCUAAUGAGGUAUUUGACUAAUGGCAUUGAGUGGAACUCCAGGAAAGCAACAUUCCAGAAGAGGGCAAUCCAAUGCAAGUCACCUAUGUUAAAUUUUGAGGUAUGCAAUGUGGAGAAGCCCAACAACAUAGAAAAUAUGUACAUUACUUGAAAAAAGGCUAUCAUGGGGACACACUAUGAUGUGGUUUGAAAUCUCUUAUCCUGAUUUAAUUUAUAUUCAGCAAAAUAAAAGCAUCAUAGAGGAGACUACUGAUAAACAAUGUGUUUUCAUAAUCAGAGAGAAAUCAAUAGUAUUCAGUAGGAUUUGGUUAACAAGAAAUACAAUUGCAGGCCGGGGAUUUAGCUCAGUGGUUUCGCCACCUACUGCGCAAGUGCAAGGACCCAAGUUCGAUCCCCGGCACCAAAAAAAAAAAAGAAAUAAAAUUGGAGUCUGGCAUGCUGUUUAUUUUAGCUUUUACAACAAAGCAAAGGUUUGAUGCGACUGAGAAUUGUACAACCAUUGACUACACAGUUUUCGAUUCCAAAAACAGUUUAUAAUAAUUUGGUGACACAUAUAACAUGCACCCAAAUAUUAUAUUUCUCAGUAACUAAGACACUGAACUAUUCUGUUCAUAGUGUACAGUCAUAUAUUUAUCCCUUUACAUUUGAAAUAUUAAGAUGCAAAGAUCUUGGACAAAAGUCAAGAAAAAAACUCUCCAUGGCCUUACUUUACCAAUGUAUAGUCCAUAAUUUUUUGAUGAGCUGUACAUUUAAAGAAGUGAUUCUCAUUUGAUUAAUUACAAAAAAAAGCAAAUCAGAAAUUGUUAAUAUAUCACUAACAGUCGGUUAUUGGGUUAGAUUCUAGGGUUCAUACAUUUACUAUGAGAGGGACUAUCUGCUCUAAAGCACAACUCAUUGUAUCUAAGAUGUGGAAAAUUUUAUUUCUUGUUACCAGUGAAUAGAAAGUAGGUAUUUAUUAUUAAGGCUUCACGAAUCUUCCUUUGAAAUCAAGAGUCUAUUAAAAACAUGAAUGAGAUAAAGAGACUUCAUGAGGUUGGCUUGAGGAAGUAUUUCUGAGGCUCUAAAGUUCCUAAGGACUUUCCCUUUACAACUGUGAUGUUCAUUUCUUCAAACCUUUUUUAAGAUUUUAUUCAAUCUAUGUCCAAUCUCAAGAGAUGGCUUUUCAUACUUAUGCUAUGCAUUUUAAGUAUAAUUCAAACCUACCCUUUAUUUAAAAAAUAAGGAAAAUACCAAAAUAUUUAUUUAUAAAAAGAAUUUCAUACUUCUGAAUAAAUCACCACUUGACAACACUGAGCAGUGUCUAAUUUGAUCAUUUACCCAUCACUCAAGAAGUCUGAACUAAUCAUGAUAGAAGUUGAAAAUGUGAACUAGAAACAUUAAGCUUUAUUCCAUGUGGAGACUAUGGGGAACCUCGCCACCACUACAGAGAAUAAUCUGUAUUUUCUUUUAUAAAGUAAUGAGAAUUAUAAUCAGAUACAUGAUUCAAUAAAAGAAACUGAU